UGCCCCAUGGCUGAGUUGGUUACAGCGUCCGACUGUUAUCACAUCCCUCAGCGGUACGGUACAUCGGAAGGUCGAGAGUUCGAGCCUCUCUGGGGCAG
rnacentral:tRNA from 1 species